rnacentral:rRNA from 1 species
AGAGUUUGAUCAUGGCUCAGAUUGAACGCUGGCGGUAGGCCUAACACAUGCAAGUCGAACGCGAAAGUCCUUCGGGAUGAGUAGAGUGGCGGACGGGUGAGUAACGCGUAGGAAUCUAUCCUGUAGUGGGGGAUAACGUUUCGAAAGGAACGCUAAUACCGCAUACGCCCCACGGGGGAAAGCGGGGGAUCUUCGGACCUCGUGCUAUAGGAGGAGCCUGCGUCGGAUUAGCUAGUUGGUGAGGUAAAGGCUCACCAAGGCGACGAUCCGUAGCUGGUCUGAGAGGAUGAUCAGCCACACCGGAACUGAGACACGGUCCGGACUCCUACGGGAGGCAGCAGUGGGGAAUAUUGCGCAAUGGGCGAAAGCCUGACGCAGCCAUACCGCGUGUGUGAAGAAGGCCUUCGGGUUGUAAAGCACUUUCAGUGGGGAGGAAAAGCGGGUGGCUAAUAUCCAUCGGCCGUGACGCUACCCCCAGAAGAAGCACCGGCUAAUUCCGUG